AGAACCUCCUAGACAUUCAUUUUGGUGGUAAUAAGGUUUGUUAUUUAUAAUUUAUAUAAUUAUAUCAUGUCUAAAUUAGUUAAUAUUAAUGAUGUCCAAAUAUGAUAAAUGAUAACGUUUUUAUUUGAUAUAUAAAUGUUUAGUAUAUAGUUUUAUAUCUUUAUUUUAUUUAUUUCUAUCGAUAUCUACUCAUUUUAUGAAUUUU
rnacentral:misc_RNA from 1 species